UGACGCUAUUAUUAGUUUUUGUGUAAAGCUUUAAAUGCAUUAAAUAAAUAGACAAAGUCAUGUUUUUGUCUCUUUAGAGUCUCAGAGCCAUAAUUUAAAGAGAGAUUUUGAUGCACAGAUUUAUGAACAAGCUCUACGCUGUCAUUGGCUUAGAGCCAUGUCAAUCAAAUCAUAACUGCCCCAAACUACAUUUUUUUAAAAGGGGUUUUAAAACUUCCUAGGUGAUUUAUGUUUUGUUUUGUUUUUUUAAACUCACCUCCAGUGUAUUUCAAAUGUCUAUUUUGUGUAGUUAAUUAAAUAAAUUGCAAUAAAUAAAUAAUUUAUUAAUGACUUUUAGAAAAAUGUGAUGGAAAGGAAGAUGGAAACUUUGGGGUGGAAGGGGCACCGUAAGUUGUUGGAACAGCUUGAUCAGCCACACCAGGCUGACAGAGGGGGCAACCCUGCAUGUCAGGGGUCCUAAAUUGGCAGGGGCCAACCGUGGUGAAGGGGAUGGACCUUCACUGGAUUACCAAGAGUCGGCUGGCUGAAGAUCACUAGCAGUCCUCAGCAGCCCCGGCCCCCGUCCCGAUGAUGUAAUUAUUUCCCAGCGGCACCUGGGAGCAACGGCCGCCAUUCGGAGGCAUCGCUCACAGCCAACAGACCAGUGACGCUCUCAUGGUGAUGCAGGUCCAAAAGUUUCCAGAAGAGCAGGCGAAGAAGGAAGUCAGAGGGCUGGAUCAGCUGUCCUGUGAUCUCCCGUGCGAGCCAAGCUGUCUGAUUGGCUGGAGGGCUGGAGGGCCAUCUUGCCUCCCUGGCAGGCAAGUGGCUCAAGCAGUUUGGUUGAGGAGGUGUGUGUGUGUGAGAGAGAGAGACGAGAGGAGGGGUAAGAAUUUGGAAAAGCAGAGGGUGAAAAUGUGUGGCUGUUGGGGUUUUAUGACAGAGGACUGCGAAGAUAAGGGAUGGAUGGCUGUUACAUAUGUGUGUAUGCAUUGUGGCAUAUGUGUCUUUGUACUGUAUGAGCAUAUAUGGGCAAGAAAAAUCAUGGAGGUUGUUAAAAAUCUCAAAGUUUCUGAAACAAGGCCAAAAUAAGGCCUAAAACAUUACUCGCUCUGCUCGUCUCUUUAUACUGUAGCUGUGCAAGUGUUUGUUUACAUAAAUAUGGUUUUAAUUAUGAUAAAACUAAGAAGUCAGAUAUUUAGCAAGGCUUUAUCUUGGUUGCCACAGCUGAUGGGGGGAUAAAUCUGGGCUCUGUUCAGGCAUCUCUAAACAACAACCAUUUAUUUAUAGACCCGUCUCUAUGCAAAGAGCCCAUUCUGAUGUUGCUACAACAUCAAAAGUAUAUUUGACAACCUGCUUCAGCUGCCUCUUUUUGUACUUUUUCAUCCAUCCAAGGAAAUGAUGCCUUGUACAAUCAAUUUAUUAGCGAACAAUCCACUUAGUCUUAUUUUGAAAGUUCAGUUAUGCGUACCGGUUAGCACUGGCCCUUCCUGUUUGUGUUUCUUUUCCAUCAGGCUGACCAAGGUUUUGUUGAGCCUCACUAUUGGUCAGAAGGACAUUCUUCUCCUCUGUCAGCAGUAAUGUGCCUUCUGCUCUGGUAACCGAUGCCAGCUAAAGGGCCAGUAAAACCAGUACCUGCAGUUGGUGUUCCCCCAACUCUGUGGAGAGGCAGCUGAACGACGUUGAAGAUCUUAUAUAUUUGACAAAAAAUAUUUGGCAAAUUAGAUUAUUAUUAUAUGAUGAUGAAUUAUAGUAUUAAGUAACUUCAUCAGUGCACAGAUAUCCAUUCAUUUUUAAAGUCCUGUUUUGCAACCUUGAAGGCAGAAAUAACAAGCAACGGGUAACAGGAAGCUGCACGCUCAUCCGCUAUGCAGCUGACUUUAUUCCUUUAUUUUUCUUAGAAUGACCAAAGUAGACUUCAUGUGUUAUUCUGUAAUGAGUGCAUAAACUUGUCUGGAAAAUGUUUAUAGAGGUCAAAGCCAAGACUCAUUUCCCAUAGACCUCUAUACACCUCUAUAAGGCACAUCAGCAUGGGGUUCAUCUUUUGUAGCUCUACGGUCACCUUUAUACUGCCUGUGGAUGGAUGAUAUGGAGACCCUUAUUGGCAUAGAUGUCAAACUAAAAUGCUUCCUUCACUGAAACUAAAAAUGUAAUUUUAUUUUCAGUGUAGCUCUUUUUUCCUGUAUCUUUUAGUAGACUAAACUUAGAUGUAGCCCUGUAUAAAGUGCAUGUACUCCUUCGCAUAUUUAUAUACAUUUGUUGGGGAAAAUAAUCCAGUUUUAAAUUUACCAGCAACACAUUAACAAGUGUUUGUUUGCAGGGGGUGGUGUGUUUACGUGGACCGUAUGCAUGUGCAGCAGACACAUUUCCAAACCUCAGAUGGUGAAGCAGAGCCUGUGGAUGGGUGGGUCAGAGAGUAGCAGCAGGCCAGUGUUGGCUCUGCUCUGGGCUGUAGCAGGGACACAGUGCAGGCUGAAAUGUUAAACCAAGGUCCUUUGUGUUAUUGCUGACAUUAUGUUUCAUUCCCUAACUCCCCCCCGGCGUGCACUUUUGAUGAUCGCACAGCACAUGCAGACACAGACAUGAGUGGGCGUAGUGGACUAUAGGACAGAUAAUGACCAGCACUUAGCUGCUAAUGCCUAAAGAGCGGAGCUUUUGACCGUCCCACUUCAGCUGCCCAAUAAUUACAUGAUCACAGUGUUCCCUCUGGUUAUUACAAAGUGGAGGUGAAAUGUAGCUUUACUUUUUAAGAAAUACUUUAUUGUGGAAAUGUAGCUCUCAUAGCUGUAAAUUAGAUUAGAUUAAAAAACUAAAAGUUCAGUUUUUACUGUAGGAAACAAGAUUCCUUAGAGGAAAACAUUCAUCACCCUAAACGUAACUGUUUGAGCACUAUUUGUUAGAGUUGUGAGAGAAAUUCAUUUCUGCAACUCCAGAUUCUUGUUUAAGGAUCUUUACUGUCCAGUUUCAGCUUUAAAACCUGUUAACUGAUCCACUUAUUUGUGAUUUCUAUUGAAUAUUGGACGCACAACAAAGAUAAGUUUGUGCAAAGAGAAGUUAUUUGUCUAUGUGGACGGGAAAAACUCAUUAGUAUGUAGACUUUUAAUCCAAAGAAACACACUCCUGCAGUCAAGUGGCUCAUUUUUUACUU